UACGUAGGUGGCAAGCGUUGUCCGGAUUUACUGGGCGUAAAGAGCGCGCAGGCGGUCGUUCAAGUCGCGUGUGAAAGCCCCCGGCUCAACUGGGGAGGGUCACGCGAUACUGAUCGACUCGAAGGCAGGAGAGGGAAGUGGAAUUCCCGGUGUAGUGGUGAAAUGCGUAGAUAUCGAGAGGAACACCAGAGGCGAAGGCGGAUCGCUGGGCCAACACUGACGCUGAGACGCGAAAGCUAGGGGAGCAAACGGG
rnacentral:rRNA from 1 species